UACGUAGGGGGCGAGCGUUGUCCGGAUUCAUUGGGCGUAAAGCGCGCGCAGGCGGUUCUUUAAGUCUGAUGUGAAAGCCCACGGCUCAACCGUGGAGGGUCAUUGGAAACUGGAGAACUUGAGUACAGAAGAGGAAAGCGGAAUUCCACGUGUAGCGGUGAAAUGCGUAGAGAUGUGGAGGAACACCAGUGGCGAAGGCGGCUUUCUGGUCUGUAACUGACGCUGAGGCGCGAAAGCGUGAGGAGCAAACAGG
rnacentral:rRNA from 1 species